rnacentral:rRNA from 1 species
CCUACGGGUGGCAGCAGUGGGGAAUAUUGCACAAUGGGGGAAACCCUGAUGCAGCAACGCCGCGUGAAGGAAGACGGUUCUCGGAUUGUAAACUUCCUUUUUUAGGGAAGAAUAAUGACGGUAGCGUAGGAGCAAGCCACUGCUAACUACGUGCCAGCAGCCUCGGUAAUACGCAGGUGGCAAGCGUUGUCCGGAAUUACUGGGUGUAAAGGGAGCGCAGGCGGGAAGCCAAGUCAGCUGUGAAAACUACGGGCUUAACUUGUAGACUGCAGUUGAAACUGGUUUUCUUGAGUGAAGUAGAGGUUGGCGGAAUGCCGGGUGUAGCGGUGAAAUGCGUAGAUAUUCGGAAGAACACCGGUGGCGAAGGCAGCCAACUGGGCUUUAACUGACGCUGAGGCUCGAAAGUGUGGGGAGCGAACAGGAUUAGAUACCCUAGUAGUC